CCUGCAUGAUGGACGUGACAGGGAGGACGAGCCACCUUUGAUUGAUGACCGGAAUUGAAUGAUUGCAAGUGCUUGCACUUUAUUGUACAUGAUAAAAGCUGGCGAGCAGGGGCGAAGAAUCUACUUGGAGAGAAGACGUCCAGAUGUGAGAGCCGAUGUUCUGCGAUAUUUUGCAUAUAAAGAGAUCUUGAACCUUGUGGUUCUCUGAGCUGAUAUUCUGCGAAAUUUCCGCUAGUAAGGACAACGUAAACCUUGUGUUUCUCUGAGCUGACACUUUGGUAUUAAUCGAUAUGAAAAGAGGUUUUGAGCCUUGCCUUUUUCCGAUGGAUCAUGAUUCAAAUUCUUCUAGGCCACCAAAAACUCCGGGGGUGUUGUACUUUAACCAUUUCCCGAAGAACUUUCUACGGCCUUACGGCCGGGCAGAAGGUAUGCCCUCGAAGGAGAAGACCCUCUCCCGGCUUCAACCGGAGGGAUGCGAAUGGCUAAGGCGUCCGCACGUUGCAGUUUCUGAGCUGGCUGCAACAAUGCAGGGGAACACCGAUCUUUUGAAAGAAAAGGCAGAUUUUUUUACCACGAAGAGGUUGGCAAGUUUUUUAAAAAAUAUUCAGCCUUUUGUAACACAACUCGCGCCAUUUAAUAAAGACAGUCCAAUGAAUCCAAGCGAAAACCAAUGCAGGGACCUCCUGAAAGCGAUGCUUUCUACAUCAGCUCAACUGGACAAACAGUUGGAUACUGCUCUUGAAGUUGGAUGUGCCCUCUUUAUCUUGGCAAUCCAAUUCAAGGUUGCACAAGUACUCAUAUCCAACCCUGUUGACUACGCUAAUAAAAUGACCUUACAUCCAAACCCUGAGCCAGCUUUCAAAUAUUCAAACAAUCUGUUACAUCUUAUUCCACUCCUCCGCCAGUAUUCUUCCAUUUCGCAACCAACUCCACCCGUUUCAAGUCUAAUUGAAACACUACUCGAUGAACUAUCUUCAUCAUCUUCGUCCUCACCUUCAUCAACCAUCACAAAGCCAAAAAAGUCAAAGAAAAAGAAGAAGAAAAGAUCAUACUCUUCAGAAACCGAUGACGAACCUCCAAAGAAAAUUAAAAUAAAAAAAGAAAGGAACUGAACGCUUCACUUGAAUUUCAGUAUUCGCGAUUUCAAUUCUUCCGGGUUUCGGAGUUGCGACAAAAGGUGGCCUACGCCAUUGGUAUACACUUUAGCGUAGGAUUGGCUUAAUAAUGUUUUCUCGAAUUUGAAUGAUGUUACGUAUUUUCCUUUGAACAUUAACACUGAAAGAGGAUUCAGAUCUGAACUUUGGUAAGCCAUUGUUACGUCAACAGAUAGGCCAAUCCUUACCAAAAUUACUCCAAUGCCGUAGACCAAGUCUUGUCACAACCAAUGGUAUUUACUUUGUUCAGGUUGCCUAAUUUUAAGGCUGUAUUGGUGUCUGAAAACAUUGGGGAGAAGUUUCUGUCAAGCUUUUCAUGAAUUAGUUUCCGUUGAGCCAUUCUGAAAGUAUCUAAUUCAAAAUUCGCGGUCAUUCAGAAGUAUGCCUACUGCGCAGUUGUAUCAUCUUUAGAUAUAUCCAACCGCUUAUCAUGAAUAAAGACAGAAAGGAAAAUUAAGGGGCUAAACAGGAAUCCUAAAUAAUAUAUUUUAGAUUGACGGCCUUUCCCAAUUUAUAUCGCAUUUUAUAAAGACCAUUCCAGUUACGUUAACGAACAAAAUUUCGUUUCUUAUUCCAGACAAAUUUAGGACAAAUAAACGAGACAAAGUUCGGUCACGACGAAAUUUUUUGCCUUCUAAAAUAUUGAUAAUUCGGAAAUAGAAUUAUAAUAUUAUGUCAGACAUGAAUUUUAUAAUAAUCGUUUUAUAUACUAAUUAAGUUAAUGUUGGCUAAAUUUUUAAGCUUGUUUACAUUAAAUUUUGAGCUUUAUAAUGAGGAGUUAACCGAGUGGCAUUUUCUUUUCUUGCUGUACUUUCUUAACUUUUCAUUGUUGCGUUGGUUUGACUUUUUAGAUGUUUUUAAGAUUUGCGUUUAUUGCUAGGGGUGGCGCUAGAAAAUAUUCUUAGGGGGUACCUAGUGCUGUGUUGCUGAGUAGGGAUUCUUAAUUUACAUCAAACGAAGGCAUUCUCCAGGUCUUGAGCUGAAGCGAUUUUUUCCCAUUUAUUACUUAGGAAAUUAUUUAUUCAUCUCGAUGACGUCAUGAAAGAUCCAAUAUUGUUGUUUGAAAUCAAUUUUGAAUAUAUUUAAUGAUUUUUGAAACCCCCUCCAUUUAAUCCCAACCGUACUUAUCGUAUUUUAUCUCGCGAUUUUGUGGUAAUAGCAUAUAUGCUUUCAUUUCACAACAUAUAAUCUCAGCGAUGAAAUAGUAAGGUUGCAACAGUGCGCAAGGCCGUAUGCCAAGAACUUUCAGAAUUGAGGCAUUCGUCAAAGUCGUCCAGGGAUAGGGAUAGGGUUAAGGAAAGGCUUUCUUCUGAUAUAGUGACUAUUAUCUAGAACACCACAACACUUGCGUCAUUUAAUCUCUGAACUAUUUUCUCUCAGGCAGCAUAUGCCUUUUGCAAGGUUGGCAAAUAUAUAAGGGCUAAAAAAGAAGAGCUAAAGAUAUAAGAGCUAAAGUGGCCAGUUUUUCAUGAUUUUCUAAAAGAGUAUGGGCGGGCAUUUCAUCACAUACUGGCUGUUUUUCAAUGCCCAAUUACAAAGUAAAUUAACCCACCAAAAGCAAGAGACAUUUUUUCAAUAUCUGAGGAUACCUAAUACGAAAGUUAAUUGAUGCCUUAGCAAUUUAGUGGAGGGAGGAGGCUCAUUUUGAGAUUGGUGACUUGCCAGCCAUAAAGAAUAGCGUCUUUUCGUGAUUUCCAUAUCAACACGGGUAUUUUCCGAUGAUUAGUAUAUAUAAACGGCUCAUUUUCUCGAAACUGGUAUAAAUAAGGAUCAUGAAUUCUCGAUAUAUGUUUUAAAUUUUAUAAACAAUGGAAUUAGUUUGGUUGAGAAUAAACAACUCAACAAAUACCUAUGGUAUGCAUUAAAUCUCACCCUGGGUUGUCUUGAUCAAAUUACAAAGUCAUGCUCAAGUCAAUAAGUGAGGUAUCAUGUCACAAAAGUUUGAAAGUUAUGGCCCAAUAGAGAUUUUAAUUGGAUUUUAAAAUUUUAUCCUAUUUUACAUAUGACAAGUUUUGCACCAUUUGAUCGAAAGUCAGACCAUUGCAAAACGAACCACUUGCCGAUUCUUCACCUCAAAUGUUUGGGUUUUGUUUACUAACAUACAUUAAUUCACAUUAUCAAGAUUUGGUAAUUGAACAUCAUGAAAGAAAACAAUUAUAGUUUAAAGGCUGUACACGAAAUCGAAAGACCAUUUGGAGGGAAACCCAUUGCCUCUGUUCUAAGGACAAAUUUCUUAAAAGUAUUAG